rnacentral:rRNA from 1 species
ACGGAAGGCAGCAGUGGGGAAUAUUGCACAAUGGGGGAAACCCUGAUGCAGCGACGCCGCGUGAGUGAAGAAGUAUUUCGGUAUGUAAAGCUCUAUCAGCAGGGAAGAAAAUGACGGUACCUGACUAAGAAGCCCCGGCUAACUACGUGCCAGCAGCCGCGGUAAUACGUAGGGGGCAAGCGUUAUCCGGAUUUACUGGGUGUAAAGGGAGCGUAGACGGCGAAGCAAGUCUGAUGUGAAAGGCAGGGGCUCAACCCCUGGACUGCAUUGGAAACUGUUUUGCUAGAGUGCCGGAGAGGUAAGCGGAAUUCCUAGUGUAGCGGUGAAAUGCGUAGAUAUUAGGAAGAACACCAGUGGCGAAGGCGGCUUUCUGGACUGGAAACUGACGCUGAGGCACGAAAGCGUGGGGAGCAAACAGGAUUAGAUACCCUGGUA